rfam:Colius striatus contig18726, whole genome shotgun sequence.
CUACAGGCUUUUUUCUUUUCCAAAGCCACAAGAUACAAAAAUCUCAGUUUUAU